rnacentral:rRNA from 1 species
AAGGUAACGUCGAGAAUCGGGGAUAUUAACCCCAACCUUUUCUUCCCAAUUGAAAGUGCUUUACAACCCGCAGGCCUUCUUCACACACGCGGUAUUGCUGGAUCAGGGUUGCCCCCAUUGUCCAAUAUUCCCC